UACGGAGGGAGCUAGCGUUGUUCGGAAUUACUGGGCGUAAAGAGUACGUAGGCGGUUUUUUAAGUCAGAGGUGAAAUCCCGGAGCUCAACUCCGGAACUGCCUUUGAAACUAGGUAGCUAGAAUCUUGGAGAGGUCAGUGGAAUUCCGAGUGUAGAGGUGUAAUUCGUAGAUAUUCGGAAGAACACCAGUGGCGAAGGCGACUGACUGGACAAGUAUUGACGCUGAGGUGCGAAAGCGUGGGGAGCAAACAGGAUUAGAUACUCUGGUAGUCCACGCCGUAAACGAUGAGUGCUAGGUGUUAGGCCCUUUCCGGGGCUUAGUGCCGCAGCUAACGCAUUAAGCACUCCGCCUGGGGAGUACGACCGCAAGGUUGAAACUC
rnacentral:rRNA from 1 species